CAGCACCUCAAGUGGUCAGGAGGAUUAUUGGGCCUAAAGCAUCCGUAGCCGGCUCUGUAAGUUUUCGGUUAAAUCCAUGUGCUCAACGCAUGGGCUGCCGAAAAUACUGCAUAGCUAGGGAGUGGGAGAGGUAGACGGUACUCGGUAGGAAGGGGUAAAAUCCUUUGAUCUAUCGAUGACCACCUGUGGCGAAGGCGGUC
rnacentral:rRNA from 1 species